UUAAAGAAAAGGACUACAUUUCCCAGAAUGCACCUGCACCUACUCAUCUGCCCCCACCCUUCAGGUGCGACUGUUCAACCAAUGGGCUUGACGGGAAAAUUCAAAAUCGCGAACCGUUACUGCCUGGACUACUCCGUCUCUUUGUUUGUGUUUGCUCAUUAACAGUAAGAGGUCAUGUACACUGUGGUCAACUUUGUGGACGAUGAAGAGGUUUCUGGGUAAAGAUGAUGUGUUUGCCAGAGAAAUAUAAUGAAGUAACAGUGAAAGCUAAAACAUCAGAUUGAUCCAGACACUGAAGAAAUUGAUGUCACUGCAAUCUGGCCAAAAUGAUACAACUAUAUUGAAGUAGCCUACUGUAAUGAAGCUGCAGAACAACACAGAGACUCUGAGGACAUCAACACAGAAAAUGAAGG